UACGGGGGGGGUAAGCGUUGUUCGGAAUUACUGGGCGUAAAGGGCUCGUAGGCGGCCAACUAAGUCAUACGUGAAAUCCCUCAGCUUAACUGGGGAACUGCGUGUGAUACUGGAUGGCUUGGAUUUGGGAGAGGGAUGCGGAAUUUCAGGUGUAGCGGUGAAAUGCGUAGAUAUCGUAAGGAACGCCAGUGGCGAAAGCGAAUCUCUGGGCAGCAACUGACGCUGAGGCACGAAGGCCAGGGGAGCAAACGGG
rnacentral:rRNA from 1 species